rnacentral:rRNA from 1 species
AUUGAACGCUGGCGGCAGGCCUAACACAUGCAAGUCGAACGGUAACAGGAAGAAGCUUGCUUCUUUGCUGACGAGUGGCGGACGUGUGAGUCAUGUCUGGGAAACUGCUUGAUGGAGGGGGAUACCUACUGGAACCGGUAGCUAAUACCGCAUAUUGUCGCAAGCCCAUAGAUGGGGAGCUUCGGGCCUCUUGCCUUCGGCUUUUCCCAGGUGGGAUUAGCUAGUAGGUGGGGUAACGGCUCACCUAGGCGACGAUCCCUAGCUGAUCUGAGAGGAUGACCAGCCACACUGGAACUGAGACACGGUCCAGACUCCUACGGGAGGCAGCAGUGGGGAAUAUUGCACAAUGGGCGCAAGCCUGAUGCAGCUAUGCCGCGUGUAUGAAGAAGGCCUUCGGGUUGUAAAGUUCUGUCAGCGGGGAGGAAGGGAGUAAAGAUAAUACCUUCGCUCAUUGACGGUACCCGCAGAAGAAGCACCGGCUAACUCCGUG